GGAGAGAUGGCUCAGAGGUUAAGAGCACUGGACUGCUGUUCCAGAGGUCCUGAGUUCAAUUCCCAACUACCACA
rnacentral:tRNA from 1 species